rnacentral:rRNA from 1 species
GCAUAACGCGAAGAACCUUACCAAGGCUUGACAUGCAUCUCUAAGCGCGUGAAAGCGCGUGACCCUUCGGGGGAUUUGCACAGGUGCUGCAUGGCCGUCGUCAGCUCGUGUCGUGAGAUGUUGGGUUAAGUCCCGCAACGAGCGCAACCCUUGUGACUAGUUGCCAGCACGUUAUGGUGGGAACUCUAGUCAGACUGCCCAGAUCAACUGGGAGGAGGUGGGGACGACGUCAGGUCAGUAUGGCCCUUACGCCUUGGGCUGCACACGUACUACAAUGCCCAGCACAAUGAGAACCGAGACCGCGAGGUGGAGGAAAUCUAAAAAACUGGGCCCAGUUCGGAUUGGAGGCUGCAACUCGCCUCCAUGAAGUUGGAAUCGCUAGUAAUGGCGCAUCAUCUACGGCGCCGUGAAUACGUUCCCGGGUCUUGUACACACCG